rfam:Mus musculus chromosome 12, GRC primary reference assembly.
CAAUUAGGCAAUCUGGUAUGAUAUAUGCCACUCCACCAUCACCAACAUUAAGUCAGUUGGCUUGACUGUUCAGGUAGGUGCCUCUUUUCUCCUUAGCACUCAUUAUGUGCCCUUCCCAGAAAUAGUCUCUUGGUGGAAGAGUUUGACCUUCUCUGUGGAGUAGGAGUGACCUUUGGUCAAGGAUGCAUGAGUAACUGUGCUCCUCUGCCAGAAACUCCAAAACAAACCCCUCAAAGUGGAUGGGGAAGGUUCCAUCCCGCCAGGCUACCCAAUGGAACGGCCUAUU